rnacentral:rRNA from 1 species
UGGGUAAUAUUGCACAAUGGGCGAAAGCCUGAUGCAGCAACGCCGCGUGAGUGAUGAAGGCCUUCGGGUUGUAAAGCUCUGUCUUCUGGGACGAUAAUGACGGUACCAGAGGAGGAAGCCACGGCUAACUACGUGCCAGCAGCCGCGGUAAUACGUAGGUGGCAAGCGUUGUCCGGAUUUACUGGGCGUAAAGGAUGCGUAGGCGGAUACUUAAGUCAGAUGUGAAAAUCCCGGGCUUAACUUGGGAACUGCAUUUGAAACUGGGUAUCUAGAGUGCGGGAGAGGAAAGUGGAAUUCCUAGUGUAGCGGUGAAAUGCGUAGAGAUUAGGAAGAACACCAGUGGCGAAGGCGACUUUCUGGACCGUAACUGACGCUGAGGCAUGAAAGCGUGGGGAGCAAACA